AAUUGAGAAUUGAAAAGACACACACACACACACACACACACACACACACACGACUUGUGACCUAGUAUGUGAGUAGCAGAAGACCCUAUUGCUUCUCUUUGGGGAGCGGGGUCUCUUUUUUACUUUGUGUUCUAUGCUUUUUUCUAUAUUUUUUAUUAGGUAUUUUCCUCAUUUACAUUUCCAAUGCUAUCCUAAAAGUCCCCCAUACCCUCGCCCCCACUCCCCCUUUUUGGCCCUGGCGUUCCCCUGUACUGGGGCAUAUAAAGUUUGCAAGUCCAAUGGGCCUCUCUUUCCAGUGAUGGCCGACUAGGCCAUCUUUUGCUACAUAUGCAGCUAGAGUCAAGAGCUCCGGGUACUGGUUAGUUUAUAAUGUUGUUCCACCUAUAGGGUUGCAGAUCCCUUUAGCUCCUUGAGUACUUUCUCUAGCUCCUCCAUUGGAAGCCCUGUGAUCCAUCCAAUAGCUGACUGUGAUCAUCCACUUCUGUGUUUGCUAGGCCCCGGCAUAGUCUCACAAGAGACAUCUAUAUCUGGGUCCUUUCAGCAAAAUCUUGCUAGUGUAUGCAAUGGUGUCAGCAUUUGGAAGCUGAUUAUGGGAUGGAUCCCUGGAUAUGGCAGUCUCUAGAUUGUCCAUCCUUUCAUCACACUUCCAAAUUUCGUCUCUGUAACUCCUUCCAUGGGUGUUUUGUUCCCAAUUCUAAGAAGGGGCAAAGUGUCCACACUUUGGUCUUUGUUCUUCUUGAAUUUCAUGCGUUUAGCAAAUUGUAUCUUAUAUCUUGGGUAUCCUAAGUUUCUGGGCUAAUAUCCACUUAUCAGUGGGUACAUAUCAUUUGAGUUCUUUUGUGAUUGGGUUACUUCACUCAGGAUGAUGCCCUCCAGGACCAUCCAUUUGCCUAGGAAUUUCAUAAAUUCAUUCCUUUUAAUAGCUGAGUAGUACUCCAUUGUGUAAAUGUACCACAUUUUCUGUAUCCAUUCCUCUGUUGAGGGGCAUCUGGGUUCUUUCCAGUUUCUGGCUAUUAUAAAUAAAGCUGCUAUGAACAUAGUGGAACAUGUGUCCUUCUUACCGGUUGGGACAUCUUCUGGAUAUAUGCCCAGAAGAGGUAUUGCGGGAUCCUCCGGUAGUACUAUGUCCAAUUUUCUGAGGAACCGCCAGACUGAUUUCCAGAGUGGUUGUACAAGCUUGCAAUCCCACCAACAAUGGAGGAGUGUUCCUCUUUCUCCACAUCCUUGCCAGCAUCUGCUGUCACCUGAAUUUUUUAUCUUAGCCAUUCUGACUGGAGUGAAGUGGAAUCUCAGGGUUGUUUUGAUUUGUUAUGCUUUUUUUUAAUGUGCUAGUUGGUUGGUUGGUUUUAUGUCUGAAGGUCAUUUUGUGUGACUUCAUUUUUGAGACAGUAUCUCACUAGGUUGCCCAGAAAGGCCUUGAAUUUAUAUUCUGCCUGCCUCAGCCUCCUGAGUAGCUG
rnacentral:lncRNA from 1 species